AUUGAACGCUGGCGGAAUGCUUUACACAUGCAAGUCGAACGGCAGCACGGGGCAACCUGGUGGCGAGUGGCGAACGGGUGAGUAAUACAUCGGAACGUGCCCAGUCGUGGGGGAUAACGUAGCGAAAGUUACGCUAAUACCGCAUACGAUCUAUGGAUGAAAGCGGGGGAUCGCAAGACCUCGCGCGAUUGGAGCGGCCGAUGUCAGAUUAGGUAGUUGGUGGGGUAAAGGCCUACCAAGCCGACGAUCUGUAGCUGGUCUGAGAGGACGACCAGCCACACUGGGACUGAGACACGGCCCAGACUCCUACGGGAGGCAGCAGUGGGGAAUCUUGCACAAUGGGCGAAAGCCUGAUGCAGCGACGCCGCGUGGAGGAUGAAGGCCUUCGGGUUGUAAGGACUCUUUCGUCAAGGGAAGAAAACUUAAUACCUCUAACAUAGGAUGAGGUUGACGGUACCUUGAUAAGAAGCACCGGCUAACUACGUAGCCAGCAGCCGAC
rnacentral:rRNA from 1 species